rnacentral:rRNA from 1 species
AUUGAACGCUGGCGGCAGGCCUAACACAUGCAAGUCGAACGGUAACAGGAAGCAGCUUGCUGCUUCGCUGACGAGUGGCGGACGGGUGAGUAAUGUCUGGGAAACUGCCCGAUGGAGGGGGAUAACUACUGGAAACGGUAGCUAAUACCGCAUAACGUCGCAAGACCAAAGAGGGGGACCUCAGGGCCUCUUGCCAUCGGAUGUGCCCAGAUGGGAUUAGCUAGUAGGUGGGGUAACGGCUCACCUAGGCGACGAUCCCUAGCUGGUCUGAGAGGAUGACCAGCCACACUGGAACUGAGACACGGUCCAGACUCCUACGGGAGGCAGCAGUGGGGAAUAUUGCACAAUGGGCGCAAGCCUGAUGCAGCCAUGCCGCGUGUAUGAAGAAGGCCUUCGGGUUGUAAAGUACUUUGAGCGGGGAAGAAGAGAGUAAGGUUAAUACCUUGGCUCAUUGACGUUACCCAAAGAAGAAGCACCGGCUAACUCCGUG